UGGGGAAUAUUGGGCAAUGGGGGCAACCCUGACCCAGCGACGCCGCGUGAGGGAAGAAGGUUUUCGGAUUGUAAACCUCUGUCCUCUGUGAAGAUAAUGACGGUAGCAGAGGAGGAAGCCACGGCUAACUACGUGCCAGCAGCCGCGGUAAUACGUAGGUGGCAAGCGUUGUCCGGAAUUACUGGGUGUAAAGGGAGCGUAGACGGUAUGGUAAGUCAGAUGUGAAAGCCCGGGGCUCAACCCCGGGACUGCAGUUGAAACUGCCGGACUGGAGUGCAGGAGAGGUAAGCGGAAUGCGUGGUGUAGCGGUGAAAUGCUUAGAUAUCACGCAGAACUCCAAUUGCGAAGGCAGCUUGCUAAACUAUAACUGACACUGAGGCACGAAAGCGUGGGUAUCAAACA
rnacentral:rRNA from 1 species